rnacentral:rRNA from 1 species
UACAGAGGUCCCGAGCGUUGUUCGGAUUUAUUGGGCGUAAAGGGUGCGUAGGCGGCGGAGUAAGUUGGGUGUGAAAUCCCGGGGGCUUAACCUCGGAAUUGCAUUCAAUACUGCUUCGCUUGAGUACUGGAGAGGAGGCUGGAAUUUACGGUGUAGCAGUGAAAUGCGUAGAUAUCGUAAGGAAGGCCGGUGGCGAAAGCGAGCCUCUGGACAGUUACUGACGCUGAUGCACGAAGGCCAGGGGAGCAAACGGG